rnacentral:rRNA from 1 species
GACGAACGCUGGCGGCGUGCCUAAUACAUGCAAGUCGAGCGAACGGACGAGAAGCUUGUUUCUCUGAUGUUAGCGGCGGACGGGUGAGUAACACGUGGAUAACCUACCUAUAAGACUGGGAUAACUACGGGAAACUGUAGCUAAGACCGGAUAAUAUUUUGCACCGCAUGGUUCAAAAGCGAAAGACGGUCUUGCUGUCACUUAUAGAUGGAUCCGCGCUGCAUUAGCUAGUUGGUAAGGUAACGGCUUAACAAGGCAACGAUGCAUAGCCGACCUGAGAGGGUGAUCGGCCGCACGAGAGCGGAGACGCGGUCCAGACUCCUGAGGGAGGCAGCAGCAGGGAAUCUUCCGCAGUGGGCGGAAGCCGGGCGGAGGAAAGCGGCGUAAGUGAUGAAGAUCUUCGGAGCGUGAAGCUCUAUUAUUAGGGGAGAACAUAUGUGUAAGUAACUGUGCACAUAUUGACGGUACCUAAUCAAAAAGCCACGGCUAACUACGUG